GGAAGCAGCCCCACGGUCACUACCAGACUGUGUAAUCCCUUACAGUGACGAAACCGAAAGAACAAUACUAGGCGCUGAGACGCCUGUACCCCUUGCUCGUGCUUCUGAAGAAAGCGAGAAGGAGACAGCUACCAAGAAGGGAAAGGCUGGCAAAAAAGGGGGAAAAGGACGCAAGAAGCGUGAGACCCAGCCGCGUGCAGAGUGCAAUGAAGACGGCGAUUGCCGAAAAGGGUGCAACUGCCGAGAUGAUGGAGCAGGCAAGAAAUUUUGCAUGCGCCAAGGCUGAAGAUGGCGAGUUUUGCAAUAGAGAUUGCUAUUGGUCUGCGAAGCCAGGCUUAUGC